GACGAACCGAGCGAACGUUGUUCGGAAUCACUGGGCUUAAAGGGCGCGUAGGCGGGUGCUCAAGUCCGGGGUGAAAUCCCACAGCUCAACUGUGGAACUGCCUCGGAUACUGGGUGCCUCGAGUGUGGUAGGAGUGUGCGGAACUAUCGGUGGAGCGGUGAAAUGCGUUGAUAUCGAUAGGAACUCCGGUGGCGAAGGCGGCACACUGGACCACAACUGACGCUGAGGCGCGAAAGCCAGGGGAGCAAACGGG
rnacentral:rRNA from 1 species